rnacentral:lncRNA from 1 species
GAUCGUCAAUGGCCAAAGGCUCAAGCACUAUGUGGGAGGAGAUGUGGAGCAAUUUGCCUCAGUCAUGAUGUUGGUAGAUCCAUGAGGUUUGGGUCAGGCUCGUGACGUUAAACAAGUGCUACUAGGAGGCAACCUGGUUUUCUCUCUUUUACUUUUACUUUUUAAAUUUCUAGAAUAGGUUGAAUUUUAAUUUUAGUGUGUAUUCUUGGCUUGAAUACUUUUUCUGAAAAUGUUGACUGACUGAUGUGCAUGAUGGAACUAUUUGAUGAUUAUUUGAUGUGGAUGAUAAUUGAGUUGUGUUGUGUGUGAAUAUCCAGUGAAACAGAUGUGUGAUGAAUUAUGAUUGUGGUUAUGAUGCUAAGCAGGGUGUAUGAAUGGAUUGUGUGUGAGAAAGCAUGUUGUGUGAGGUAUUGAGCUCUAGAGUUUUUAUUGUUGUAUGCAUUAUUCACUCGAAAGCAUGAAUGAUAUUGCCUUAAUCUUGAUGAUUGAUUGAAUUGCAUGUGAAUGUCAUAUGAUCAAGGCCAUUUUUGAGAACCCUUCUCUAGCCAAAUGUUCACCCAAAGUGCCUGAAAAUAUUAUACCCUUUUUGAACCUUAGCCUUAAACAAGAUGUGAACGCUUGUCUUGAAAUUCUUUACCUUGAGUUGGGAUGAGCUUAAUUGUAUGCGAUGAAAAGGUUCAAGUUUGGGGUUGUAUGGGGGAAAAUUGAAAAGCAAUUGUAAAGCAUUGAGCUNAAAUGUUGAGAAAGAAAAAUGCAUGAUAAAAAGAAAAGAAAAGAAGAAAAGCAUGAAAGUGAGCUCAAUGUAAAAGAAAAGGGAAGAAGUUGGGAAUAAGUGGGAUUGGUGAAAAAGAGAGUUGUGCUUACAUUUUGAAUAUCAUGGUAGCUCUCUUAACUCAAGGACUUUGUAUCCAGAAAAACCAAUUCUUCUUGUUAGCCUAACCUCAUUACAAGCCUUGGAAAAGUCCUUUUGAUGGCAUUUGCAUGUAAAGAUAUUGAUUGUUUGAGAUGAAUGGCAAUUUUGUUUCAUGUGACUUGUGAAUAAUAGAGAGUUGGAGUGUUACCUUAAACACUUGAGUGAUUGAGUGAAACACUUGCUUGGUAUGAACUGUUAAUUUUCAUGAGUGCAUUUUUGCUUAGUGGAUUGAUCAUUCAUAACGUGUAACAUUUGUUGUGCAAUCUCUAGAUCGAAAGCAUGCAUGCAUUCUAAUUUGAUUUCACUGUAGAUUU